rnacentral:rRNA from 1 species
ACGCACGCUGGCGGCGUGCUUAACACCUGCAAGUCGAACGGAAAGGCCCUGCUUUUGUGGGGUGCUCGAGUGGCGAACGGGUGAGUAACACGUGAGUAACCUGCCCUUGACUUUGGGAUAACUUCAGGAAACUGGGGCUAAUACCGGAUAGGAGCUCCUGCUGCAUGGUGGGGGUUGGAAAGUUUCGGCGGUUGGGGAUGGACUCGCGGCUUAUCAGCUUGUUGGUGGGGUAGUGGCUUACCAAGGCUUUGACGGGUAGCCGGCCUGAGAGGGUGACCGGCCACAUUGGGACUGAGGUACGGCCCAGACUCCUACGGGAGGCAGCAGUGGGGAAUAUUGCACAAUGGGCGGAAGCCUGAUGCAGCAACGCCGCGUGCGGGAUGACGGCCUUCGGGCUGUAAACCGCUUUCGCCUGUGACGAAGCGUGAGUGACGGUAAUGGGUGAAGAAGCACCGGCUAACUACGUG